AUCGAAAACUCAUAAGCUACAAGUUACAUAUAAGUUGAUGGUAACUAAAAAAAUUUGCUUCAAGAUUUAAUUUCUCUGAUGAUGUUUUGGCUUAACAAUAUGAAAACAGAUUUUCUCAAAUGGGGACAAGGUCCAUGUGGCAAAAACUCUUAGCAAGCUUGGAUUGAAGGAGUUAUAUGUUUUGAGACUCUGAAUCCCAUCAGUGAUAAUGAAGACUCAAAGUCCACAAGCUGCAGAAAGGUGUGAUGGAGAUAUCAUUGUUCAAAGCACUUCGUAAUAACAUAGAGCUAGACGAAACGACAUGUACACCCAAAUGGAAUUGGAUGAGGUGCGAGAAGAAUUGGCAACUCAUGUCCUAUAAUGGCUUUUUGAUUGAACUAAACAUUCCUCCAUUUUUCAUGUGUUUCUAGCUAGUAUUUUGCGUUAUAGACAAGUACGGAUAAUUUGUGGUGUGAGGUUGGAAAAAUUGUGAUUUGGAUGUGAUAAGUAUGGAUCUUUCAAGUAUUUUGCUUAUAUAUAUAGACAAGUAUGAAUAUAUAUAAAUUACUA